GUUGCAGACUCUGCCAAGGAUUUCAGUCCUCUUGGAACCCUAAAGAUUGUGCCACUUGUCUCAUUUCUUUGGGCCUUUGCUGUGCACCCUUUUGGGGGGACUGAGGAUCUAGGCACAGACCCCAACAGGACAGAAACUCAAGGACUUGGCUUGGUAGCUCUAAAGUAAUUUCAGAUAGCUUCAAGCAGUCUACUAAAGAGACUUCUGCAGUACACGAAAGACUUUGCUUUGUGAACGCAUCUGUCUCUCCUCACUCUCCUAGAACAGAAGCUGCUUUCCCACGUCACCCUCCCACCAAUGCCUGGACACUGCCUGGCCUAUCUGGCGACUUGCCAACAAGAAAGAAGACCCUUGACUGAAUUGCACAGGCAGACCAUCUGAGCAAUAAAUAUUCUUUCCACAGAAAAAAAUAUUAAAUUAUGAUCUCUUUUCUGAAGUUCUUGGGAAAGAAAAUUAAUGUACUAGGCUGUAAAAGCUGUCCAGAUGCAGUGAUUUGGAAUUCUCUAUUCAAGGACAAGGAACACUCCAGGAGUCCACCUAGACCAGGGUCCUAGAGGAGCCUGGAACGACACAGCUGGGAGAACAAAUGUAGAAUGAAAUACUAGAGCCAGUAAUGUCUAAUCAUUCUAUCAAAACAACUAUGUUUAUUUCACAUUUUUACUCAAAUAAAUUCAGGUUGAAUUGCAUUUUUAAUUAUAGAAUUUUCUACUAGAAAUGCAUUAAUUUGUCUUCUUGAAGUUGU